GGAUGUGAGGGUGAUCUGACUGCGACAUCUGUCACCCCGUUGAUCACCAGGGUUGAUUCGGCUGAUCUGGCUAGCUAGGCGGGUGUCCCCUUCCUCCCUCACCGCUCCAUGUGCGUCGUCCCUCCCGAAGCUGCGCGCUCGGUCGAGGAGGACUGCCUUCCCCAAAUAGAAACAGACCGGUCUUCAGUCAAGUGUAUACGAGUAGCUGCUCUCCCCUGCUAGAACCUCCAAACAAGCUCUCAAAAAGCUACUUCAUCCAUUAGCUAUGUAUGUUCAGAUGCAAGAUAAGUAGGAAAAUCACAUCUGACAGGUUAGGAAUUACAUAAGUGUAAUCCAC
ensembl:misc_RNA 7SK 7SK RNA